CUAUAAUCACCCUAGGGAAAGGUGUCGGUGGUGGCUCCGCACCUGGGAUGCCCCCCUCCCCGGAAGUGCUUGCUGAAUUGGCUUGAGCUGCUUUGGUCCUGGCCCCUUCCAGGGAAAGGAGAAAUGACCCCAGGAAUAAAGCCUCUGCAGGAAAAGCCAUCGUCAUUUUGGUGAUUGGGAGGAAAACCGAUUCGCAUUUGCAUCUGGGAGCCACAGUUCUGCCGCAGAAGGAGCCCAGACGCCAAGGGCUGGCUAGAUGCGCCCAGGCAGGACAGGGCCUGGGAACAAAGUCUCAGUAAAUAUGUGUGGAACGAAUGAAUAAAUAAACGAAGGAGGAGAGGCUGC
rnacentral:lncRNA from 1 species